CUUUACCGCCAAAAUCAACCGUAAAUUUUUUGGGUUGCAUUGUUUUGCUCUGACCCACAGACUUUAGACUAUCUUUUACAGGCGCCGAUCCGUACAGAACGUCGUGAGACAGUUCGGUCCCUAUCUAUUACAGACGUAGGAUACUUGAGGAGAGAUCUUCCUAGUACGAGAGGACCGGAAGGUACGAAUCUCUGGUGUUUCUGUUGUACCGCCAGGUGCAUAGCAGAGUAGCCAUGUUCGGAAAGGAUAAGCGCUGAAGGCAUAUAAGCGCCAAGCCCCCUUCAAGAUAAGGUAUCCCAAUCCCGCAGGGGUAAGAAGACCACUUGUAGAACACAAGUUUGAUAGGCAGAGGGUGUAAGAGCCGUAAGGCUUUCAGCUGAUCUGUACUAAUCGGUCGUUCGGCUUGACUUU
rnacentral:rRNA from 1 species